rnacentral:rRNA from 1 species
ACAAGAUAUCUAGGGCGCACGGCGGAUGCCUUGGCACAGGAAGUCGACGAAGGACGCGGCAAGCUGCGAUAAGCCCCGGGGAGUGGCAAACACACCUUGAUCCGGGGAUCUCCGAAUGGGGGAACCCAGCAGGGGUCAUGCCCUGCUACCCACGCCUGAAUCAAAUAGGGCGUAGGGAGGCAACCGGGGGAACUGAAACAUCUAAGUACCCCGAGGAAGAGAAAUCAACCGAGAUUGCGCGAGUAGCGGCGAGCGAAAGCGCACCAGCCCAAACCCGGGCGCGUGUAAGCGGCAGGCGUUGCCGCCCGGGGGUUGCGGGACGCACGUCACGGAGCUGCCCUCCGUGGAGUGGUUACAAAGGAGUCAGGUAGCGGAACGGCAUGGAAGGGCCGGCCGCAGCGGGUGAGAGCCCCGUACGCGAAACCCGUCUCCCCACUGUUGCGCAUCCCGAGUAGGGCCGGGCACGUGAAACCCGGUCCGAAGCCGGGGGGACCACCCUCCAAGGCUGAACACUCUCCUGUGACCGAUAGCGAACCAGUACCGUGAGGGAAAGGUGAAAAGCACCCCGAGAGGGGAGUGAAACAGUACCUGAAACCGUGCGCCCACAAGCAGUCGGAGCAGCCUUUGCGCUGUGACGGCGUGCCUUUUGUAGAAUGAGCCAGCGAGUUGCGGUGUGCGGCGAGGUUAAGUUUGGAAACGAGCCGCAGCGAAAGCGAGCCUUUAAGAUGGCGAGUGAGUCGCACGCUGCAGACGCGAAGCCGGGUGAGCUAUCCUGGGGCAGGCUGAAGCGGGGGUAAGACCCCGUGGAGGGCCGAACCCACUUCGGUUGAAAACGGAGGGGAUGACCCCAGGAUAGGGGUGAAAGGCCAAUCAAACCCGGAGAUAUCUCGUUCUCCCCGAAAUAGCUUUAGGGCUAGCCUCGGCCGUUAACCCGCGGUGGUAGAGCCACCGGAUCGACGAGGGGGCUUCACCGCCUACCGACUCGAACCGAACUCCGAAUGCCGCGGGUCGAGAGGCCGGGAGUCAGAGGGCGUGGGCUAAGCUGCGCGCUCGAGAGGGAAACAGCCCAGACCGCCCGCUAAGGUCCCCAAGUCAUCGCUGAGUGGCAAAGGAUGUGCGUCUGCCCAGACAACCAGGAUGUUGGCUUAGAAGCAGCCAUGCAUUUAAAGAGUGCGUAACAGCUCACUGGUCGAGUGGACAUGCGCCGACAAUUCACGGGGCUAAGCGAUGCACCGAAGCGGCGGACUGAGAAUUCAGUGGUAGGGGAGCUCUCCGCGGGGGGCGAAGCAGCAGGGCGACCUGCUGUGGACCGCGCGGAGGUGAGAAUGCUGGCAUGAGUAACGAGACCAGGGCGAGAAACCCUGGCGCCGUGAGCCUAAGGGUUCCUGGGCGAGGCUAAUCCCCCCAGGGUCAGUCGGGAGCUAAGGCGAGGCCGAGAGGCGUAGCCGAUGCGCAGCGGGCAGACAUUCCCGCACCGCCGACGGCGCGGCAUUACCGAUGGGGCGACGGAGAAGGGUAGCCGGGCGGGGUUCUGGACGUCCCCGUGAAAGCGCGUAGGGCGCGCAGCGUGGAAAUCAGCUGCGCACGGGGCCCGAGACGCGAGACGAAGCGAGCGAGCGAAGCCGGUGAGCCCAUGCUUCCGAGAAAAACCUCUAGGGAGUGCCGUCGGCGCCCGUACCAAAACCGACACAGGUGGGCGGGUAGAACAUACCGAGGCGAUCGGGAGAACCACGGUUAAGGAACUCGGCAUACUGGCCCCGUAACUUCGGGAGAAGGGGCGCCGCCGGCUGUGAACGCCCUCGCGGCGGGAGCGGCUGGCGGCCGCAGCGAAACGGCCCAAGCGACUGUUUAUCAAAAACACAGGACUCUGCAAAGCGGCAACGCGACGUAUAGGGUCUGACGCCUGCCCGGUGCCGGAAGGUUACGCGGAUGCGUCAGCCGAAAGGCGAAGCGCUGAAGCCAAGCCCCGGUAAACGGCGGCCGUAACUAUAACGGUCCUAAGGUAGCGAAAUUCCUUGUCGGGUAAGUUCCG